AUGCAAUCAAAACAUCCACACUGAACCACGCUUUCUAACGUUAGCAUUUUCAGGCUCCCAAAAGAGUUUUAAUGAUCUUAAUGCAUUCAAAUGUUUUCGAUUUGUAGUUGAAAAAGGCGUCAUUUCAACGAUUCAGGGGGUUUCUAGCAUGCGAGGGGCUAAUCAGAUAUUUGUUCUUUUUUUCUGCCAUUAAGAGGUAUUUGCCACCAAAUGUUAAGACAUUUAUGCUUAUGGGACAAACCACUGUGGUUGUACUGUAUGAACAACUUGAAACACAUUUUUUUGCGAUGCAUUUUAAAACCAAAGAGGUUUAAAUAUUUAUCACGGUUGCUUGAAUGUUUAUAGAUCUUUUAGACGAGUGAAUGAAGCUUUAUUUUUUAAAGAACUGGAGAUCGAUCGUACUAACAUUAAAAUAGAAAAUCAUGUCAAAAAUAGAUUUGUAGUCUGCGAUGCACUGAUCCUCCGAUUAGAGUUGCGUCAAUAGAAAUAUGUGCGCAAACAUCUUUUUUGUAAUAAAAUUCAGUUGUCUGAAAUGUUGAUUACUUCAGGUGGAAAAAUGAAAUCGUAUUGUUUGGAAAUAACCAGCCUGAUCUCACGAGGAAACGUAACUACUUUACGUUAAAUUAGUUUGCGAAUUCAGUCGAAUGAAAAUGUACGAUUUUUAAAAAAAGAGGCGAGACAGCAAACCCCGUCCCUAAACCCAACCCUCAUUGGGGGCUGAGCAAAUCGUACUACAUUGUACAAAUGAGAUCGUAUAAAUGCAUACAAAUUUGCUACUAAAUCCAACAGUUACGAAUCGCCGUGAGAUAGCGUUUAAAUAACAAUAGCUAUGCUUCCAUCCACUUAUUUUUAUGCGCAUUUUGGAUAUGCACAUUAAAAACGGUUGAUGGAACCAAUUCCAGCAUGCCCAUUAAUGGACGAACCAGCUGGCUGAGCACAUUGUGAAACAUCUGAAAUCUGGGUUUGGUCAUUCUAAAAUGCCGUAACUAUUUCAGUAUUAGUAUUAUCACAUGAUUAACUACUCCCAGACUAGUCAAGGACGUCUGUGCUCUCACGCUUUCAAACACCACCACACGUUCAUUGCGUGUCUGCAUUUGUCUUCUGAGGCGCAAGUAAUUUAGUAAAUAAAGAAACGAUUCAUUUCCCAGAGAUGGGUUGCGGCUGGAAGGGCAUCCACUGCAUAAAAACUUGCUGGAUAAGUUGGCGGUUUAUUCCGCUGUGGCGACCCCGGAUUAAUAAAGGGACUAAGCCCACAAGAAAAUGAAUGAAUGAAAGAAACGAUUCAAGCAGAUUUUCCUACGGCAGCAAAUUCCGUUUUUAUUUUUGAUAUUUGGCGCCUGUUAAUCAGAAUGACUUUGUUUUUUUUUUUGUUGUUUUUUAAGUCGUUGGAUGGAAUUGGUGCUUUAUUCGCACGUCUUAUGCGAUAGUACAUUUUUGCGCAUAAAUUUAAUUCGCAUUUUUGGUUGGAAACAUAGCUACUGAUUCAAAUGCAGCAUUUCAACACAUUUCGAUUAAGAUAGAUUAUUGGAAAUGCGAAUGUGCUGAAAAUAUUUAGCGAACGACUCUCUGCUUUAACGCCUUUGCUAAAAUCUAAUAUCAAAUAUGCUAGCAAUCUACUUUUGCCAAUCCGUUGCAGAAUUUCCAAAGCAGGGUAAAUUAGCUGCUAAUUGUGAAAUCUUACUGCUCUGUACUAUCAAGUGCGCCGUUGUCAGGCUGUAUUGUGUAAAUCUGGAAUUUAUAUAUUUUUCUGUUUACAGGCGCUAACUUACAUCAGUUUUGAAUAUUACAAUAUUUAAUUGAAAUGAACAGACAGCAAGAGGUCAGGUCUAUCCAAGUUUCUGUCUAAAACUGUUAACUAUUGGUGACUUACGAAUGAUCAAGGUUCUCAUAUUUAAUAGCCUGUGGCAAUGUAUUUUAUGUUUUAUCAGAAAGCGUCCCACAGCAUUUUGGUAGCUUAGGAUGCUCUGUCUUAACAUGUAGUUCUUUGUAAGAAACGCCCUGUCUGGCGGCCCUGAAGAAGCGUAUUAAAAUUAAAACCAUCCUGAACAUCGAA
rnacentral:lncRNA from 1 species